rnacentral:rRNA from 1 species
UACGGGGGGAGCAAGCGUUGUUCGGAUUUACUGGGCGUAAAGGGCGCGUAGGCGGCCACCGCAAGUCGACUGUGAAAUCUCUGGGCUUAACCCGGAACGGUCAGCCGAUACUGCGGGGCUAGAGUGCAGAAGGGGCAACUGGAAUUCUCGGUGUAGCGGUGAAAUGCGUAGAUAUACGGAGGAAUACCUGAGGCGAAGGCGGGUUGCUGGGCCAACACUGACGCUGAGGCGCGAAAGCCAGGGGAGCAAACGGG